rnacentral:tRNA from 1 species
AAGAGUAUAGUUUAAUGGUAGAAUCAGAAGCUUCAACCUUCUUGGUCUUAGUUCGAACCUAAGUGCUCUUG